rnacentral:rRNA from 1 species
GGUGACUCUGAAUAACUGAGCAGAUCGCUUCGGUCUAGUACCGGCGACAUAUCUUUCAAGUGUCUGCCUUAUCAACUUUCGAUGGUAGUUUAUGUGCCUACCAUGGUUGUAACGGGUAACGGAGAAUUAGGGUUCGACUCCGGAGAGGGAGCCUGAGAAACGGCUACCACUUCC